rnacentral:rRNA from 1 species
UACGGAGGGUGCAAGCAUUAAUCGGAUUUAUUGGGCGUAAAGGGCGCGUAGGCGGCUCGUUAAGUCGGCUGUGAAAGCCCGGGGCUCAACCCCGGAGGGUCGGCCGAUACUGGCGGGCUAGAGUACUGCAGGGGAGACUGGAAUUCCUGGUGUAGCGGUGGAAUGCGCAGAUAUCAGGAGGAACACCGGUGGCGAAGGCGGGUCUCUGGGCAGUAACUGACGCUGAGGAGCGAAAGCGUGGGGAGCGAACAGG